rnacentral:rRNA from 1 species
AUACGGAGGGUGCAAGCGUUACUCGGAAUCACUGGGCGUAAAGUGCGCGCAGGCGGUCUUUUAAGUUGGAUGUGAAAGCCUACGGCUCAACCGUAGAACUGCAUCCAAAACUAUUAGACUAGAGUGUGGGAGAGGAAGAUGGAAUUAGUUGUGUAGGGGUAAAAUCCGUAGAGAUAACUAGGAAUACCAAAAGCGAAGGCAAUCUUCUGGAACACUACUGACGCUGAGGCGCGAAAGCGUGGGGAGCAAACAGGAUUAGAUACCCGGGUAGUCC